CAGCAUUACGUUAUGAAAAAGAGAGUAGUGUGUACAUAUGUUUUAUGCCCUUCAAUGUUUGUGGGCGCACGACAUAUAUUGCAUCUAACUGUGUUAGCACGAUAGUAUUAUGGGACGUGUACAAUAAACAUAGUCAAUUAAAGUAUAGAUAUACUACAUCUCGUAAAAGAUAUACUACUAGUACUUAGAGUGACAGGUUCAGUGUUUUUUAAACUUAGAGCGCCAUGCUAAAUCCCUUGUGUUCUGUGAGAAGAUAAUCAAUCAAGGACGCGUCUAACUAACACCCGUUGGUUCGCUAGCGCUCCCCGACACCCAGUAAUUUUUGGAAAAUGUUUGUCCAUUUAUCCUCAUGAGGAAGGACUCCUCUCGUCCCAAG
rnacentral:lncRNA from 1 species